rnacentral:rRNA from 1 species
GAUGAACGCUGGCGGCGUGCCUAAUACAUGCAAGUCGAGCGAACAGACGAGGAGCUUGCUCCUCUGACGUUAGCGGCGGACGGGUGAGUCACACGUGGAUAACCUACCUAUCAGACUGGGAUCACUUCGGGAAACCGGAGCUUAUACCGGAUAAUAUACUGAACCGCAUGGUUCAUUAGUGAAAGACGGUUUUGCUGUCACUUAUAGCUGGAUCCGCGCCGCAUUAGCUAGUUGGUAAGGUAACGGCUUACCACGGCAACGAUGCGUAGCCGACCUGAGAGAGGGAUCGGCCACACGGGAACUGGGACAGGGUCCAGACUACUGCGGGAGGCAGCAGUAGGGAAUCUUCCGCAGUGGGCGGAAGCCUGGCGGAGCGACGCCGCGUGAGAGAAGAAGAUGUUCGGAUCGUAAAACUCUGUUAUUAGGGAAGAACAAAUGUGUAAGUAACUAUGCACGUCUUGACGGUACCUAAUCAGAAAGCCACGGCUAACUACGUG